CUUAUCUGUAACUAACACACAAAAGGAAGACAGUGCUAUUUAUUUUAGAAUAUAAGUCCUUAGAGGUUUUCUAGAUGUUGUCCUUGUCCAGGUUGUCUAGAUGUAAUCCAUACACUCCUUCCUCUUUUCCAGUUUAGCAAAGGAUGUCCAGCCUCUUUAUGUUCUUGUGAAUAAAUGAUCUCCAGUGACACUUUCAAGAAUUUGGCAGGUCAGAAGGGGGACUGCUGCUGAGCCAGUAAGCCCUUGAGGGGAUGUGUUACCCAUGCAUGGGAGAGAUAGGGAUGGCAUGCUUCAAAGAACGACAGCGAUAAGACAGAGCCACCUCUGUGGCCAUUCUCACCAUCUGUGCCUCCUUCCCCAUCUCAGGUUCUCAUCAUAGCACUUUUUUUCCUGGUAAAUCCCCAGAAUAACCAGAUCUCUCUCUUUUCUUCCUAUGGUUCUUUUCUCCCAAGUCUGUUCAUGGAUUGAAAGCAUUAUGAUCUGUGUUAUGGUGUUGUGGAGAGAAUGUGUUGCUCAUUAAUGAAAGUUUGUUAUUGUGUUGCACUUUUAUUUUACAGAUAUUUGAGCAUGAUGAUAAAAGUUUUCUGAGCAAAGAUACCUUGGAAAUCAAAAAGCUGCAGGAGCAGAAUGCCAGCCUUCGGGCUGCUAUUGCACAAAUGAGGAAAGAAAUGGAGAAUCUUGAUCAGCAGGUGUUGUCCUCUCUUCCUCUGACAGAAAGCAGACAGCUUGCAGAACAAGGUUCAUUGUGCACAAACAACAUUUCAACUGCAAACACUUUGAGUAACACCAAAGUCAGCUCAGCUAACUUGGAUUGUGUAGUAAACCCAGACACAGAAAAGGGGCCAAACGCCAAAGUUCUUGAAGAAGAGAUGGUAGAUCUUGGACAGCAGUUACCUGACAUGGGUCCUGGUAUUGGUCUUCAGCAUGGUGUCAGCUGCACUCUACAAGGAAUGCAAAAUAAACUGAGGGAAGCUGCAAGAAAAAUCUCAAUUCUGAGCCAAGAGAAGCAGCAGCUGAUUGAAAUGGGAAACAGACUCAGGGCAGAACUUGGAAUGGUAUUAAAGGAAGGACUUUGGCAUCCUGUUAGCUCUAAGCGCUGCACAGUUUGUAUUGCCUCUGGUAGUCUUUUUCCAAGAGAGCUUGUCAAAAGAACACAGUGUCAGCUAUCAGCUUUAAAGCAUCUACAGCACAGGCUUACAACACAGGAGCUGCAGUUUGCAAAGCCACAGCAUCCCUCAAGGAUCUCUUCUCUGCUUGCCUGCCCUAGCUUAAAGGAAGCAGAAGGUCCAAGCAGCAGUGGGGAAGAAAAGGAAUUACCAUACACCAAGGUUCAGCUAGAUUUCUCUGUUGAAAAUCAUGGGCCAGAGCAACAAAAGGCAGAUAGAUCCUCAAAGAUCGGCCAAAGUCAGCCACUCAGGCAGAACCCUGGUCAAGCCCAGCAGGUCCAGCUUCCUUCAUCUCAAGCACGUGAUUUCUGCCAAGGGGAGUUUGCAGUUACACAUUCGACUGAGCAAUCUGAAGAAUCUCAGCAAAAUAUCAAAGCCAAGGAUAAACUGGAAAUGCCAGCUGCAGAUUUGACAGUCAGAGGAACCAGGCUGGAAGUUCAGAAGAAGUUAAAAUCCAGGAAUUUGUCUCCUGCUCGUAUCAUAAAACCAAAAAUCUCUUCUAACAUGGCAAAAAUCCGCAACUAUAAUAUUAGAGACUGAUUUCUUUGUUGGCAACACGUUCCAGGUCCACGCUUGCUAUUAAUUUACUUUGAAGUCUGUAAAUCAGAUGUGAAUACCGGCUUUGUUUUUAUAUGAGUUGGGACUCAUAUAAGAAGAAGAGAGAAAAACCACUCUGUUUCAUACUGUGAACCCUAAAAUAAAGGGUUAAUAUGUGAGAUUACA
rnacentral:lncRNA from 1 species